rnacentral:tRNA from 1 species
GUUCCCAUGGCGUAGUGGUCACUGCGCUCGCCUUGCACGCGGGAGACCCGGGUUCGAUUCCCGGCGGAAUCA